GACGGAGGAUGCAAGUGUUAUCCGGAAUCACUGGGCGUAAAGCGUCUGUAGGUGGUUAAAAAGUCCACUGUUAAAGAUUGAAGCUUAACUUCAAAAAUGCCGUGGAAACUUUUAAACUUGAGUAUGAUAGGGGUAGAGGGAAUUUCCAGUGGAGCGGUGAAAUGCGUAGAUAUUGGAAAGACCACCAAUGGCGAAGGCACUCUACUGGGCCAUUACUGACACUGAGAGGCGAAAAGCUAGGGGGAGCAAAUGGG
rnacentral:rRNA from 1 species